rnacentral:lncRNA from 1 species
UUUUACCCGGGUUUAACUCUAUCCGGAUCUUGGAUAAGGAAUUUUAGGAAUGAUGUAAUAAAAACAAACGAAUAUUUUGAGUAUAAUUGCUAUAACAAUUCUGUUUAAUGUUUCUUUAAUUACAAAUAAGUUACCUAUUUUAAUGGUAAAUAAUCUUUCAUAUUAAUGACCCUAAUAAAUAGCCGAUUUUAAUGGAAAAUCGUUUUUCAUAUUUAUGCUCAUAAUAAAUGUCCAGAUUUUAACAAUAUAU